AGGUGGAAUAUCAGGAUAAAAACACCUACAGCUGUGUGCUCAACAAUCCCAUCAGCAACCAGACUCAACAUCUGGACAUCACUCAACUCUGUCACACAUGUGCAGGUAUGAUGGUGUUUAUAUUAAUGUGGAUUAACUGACCUGAUCUAUAAAGUUAUAGUUUUUGUUGUAGAUCAGACAGACUAAUUAACUAACACUAAUGGCUCAUUUUGAUAAUUACAGAUCAAGGUCUACCUUUAUUGUACAUAGUGCUGAUCUCUGCUGCUGCUGUAGUGCUGAUCUCUGCUGCUGCUGCUGGAUCUCUGUUGAUUGUUGCUGCAGUCAUGAUGUGCUGCAUCUGCAGGAAACGUAGAGAAACUGACAGAGGAGUUCAGACUUGUGAAGAAAUGAUCACUUAUGCUGAGCCAACUUUCUACAAAAGAAAAACACAAUCCAAAAUUGAAGAGGAGAAUCACGUAGAGUAUGCAUCUGUCGCCAUAAGAAGAUGAUCAAGCAUUUUCUAAGUACCAGAUCCAGCUGUGUGAUCACUCUCACUUAAACCUUUGUAUUAAGUCUAUUGUUGAGUUUUGGGAUUGGUGAGAAUUGCCACAUUCAUUCAUUAAAAAUAAAUAAAGACAACGUGAUAUCAAACCCACAAUACUUUAAUUCAUCUUCCGAACACAAAUUAGUUUAUUUUUAAUGGUCUAUUUAUUUUUUUUUUUUUUUUUUCUAUCAUCCAUUAGAAUUACUUGAUAUGCAGAAAUGAUCCUUAUUAUUCUGCACAUCAAGCAUGCGCAGGUUUGGGUUUCCAUGUUUAGCAUAUUUGAUUUGCUCAAUGCAUGUGCAUCAAUGUUUAUGUGUGAAUAAAAGCAUAAUGUGUUUAUGAACUAUUUGGAGCUUGAAGAGGUUGCUUGUGUGGACUUUCAGUGGAUAAUGUAAACCAAUGAGAGAAUAUUAUACACCUUCAUGUAUGUUCUGGAGGAUGAACAAAAGUACCUAAGGGUUUUGGUAGCGAAAGGGUGAUUAUGUGAUGACAGAAACUAUCCCUAUAAAGUGUCAAAACUAUGCGUGUGUAUCUCCAAGUGCAAAACGUAGAUGCAAAACUCAUCAAGUGAACUCAUUCUGUACAGACAGGUUUUUGCAUGAGCAUGUCUACUGCUAGACGUUGGUGUUUGAUGUCAGUUUGCGAGUGCGUCUGAGGUGUCAGGAGUGUGUCUGCGUGCACAACGUGUGGUUGAUGGUGUUGUUUUUUUUUUUUCAAUUCCUGCUCAUGAUACUCACAGUUUGACUUCUACUUUACAGAAAACAUCUUAAAAUACAACUGUUGAUGUACAACAGUUUUAUACAAUAGUUCAAGAAACAAUAAAUAAUUAUUGAGAGUUUUUGUCCUAUUUUGCUAACAAAAAAAAAAAAAAAAAAUAGACAAAUAUAUAUAUAUAUUAUUAUUAUUAUUAUUAUUAUUAUUAUUAUUAUUAGUUUUUCUUUUUUUUUUUUACAAAUUGUCAAACUGUCAGUUAUUCAUGAUGAACUGUCAUUCCCCCAUUUAUAAAAAAAACUUAUCACUUGUCAGAUAAAUGAAUAAUUCUAUGAUUAUCUUACUAAGACUUGCCUCAAACUACU
rnacentral:lncRNA from 1 species